UAAAAUUAAAAUUACAAUAAAUAAACUCAUUAUGUCUCAUCAAUUUACAAUGCCAAAUCUAUUUAUAGUUUUAAAACCAAAUCAAGUUACAAAUUAAAAAUUAAGUCAAAUUAGUUUACAAUAAAAAUUAAUACAAAUUAAAUCAAAUCAAGGCAGUUGUUCCAGCCUGUUUUGCAUUUGUUUUGUUCUCUAUUGUUGCCAUUGCUCACUGCGAAGCCUUGAUCUGUUGACGCUGACUACUAUUGAUGCACAAGCCAUGCUCAUUGUUACAUUUGUACCUGUUGUAACUAAUUAGAGAAAUAAAAAUAUUAAUUUAAGUCAGCCAUUGUACAUAUUAUACAUAGCAAAUAGAUGAACUUUUGAGUUUAAAAGAAAAAACUAAAAGACAAAUUAAAGCUGCAAAUGAAAAUGCUCAGCAAAUGAACAAAUCAAAACAAAUAAUCCAAAACCAUGAAUGCAACAGAGGUGCAGAAAAAAACUCAGAUGAUGAGCAAAAGAAAAGAAACAUCAAGCAAGGAAUUAGAAAGCUCAAACUCAAACAAAGACACAAACAAAGAAAACAACUAAAUAGAUAAAAGAACACUAUAAAUACAUCUUUAAAUUUCAUAAAGGAUCGAAGAUGAACAUUAACAAGAAAAAUACCUAAAACGAAGAAGAAGAAAACAUAGUAAUAGCAAAGAAAAACAAAUAGAAGACGAAGAAUUAAGGUAAAUUUUUUUUCUCUCUUUACAUUAUAAUUAAUUUAUAUAUAUAUAUAUAUAUAUAUAUAUAUAUACAUGUAUAUAUCUAUCGAUUUAAAAUAGAAAAAACAAGAUAACAUUUUAAAUGAAAAUAAAAAGUAAAGUCAGAAAUCACAAACCUUCAACGAGUGUCAACGCCGCCGCCACACUCUCCAAAUAGUCUGGUACGUUACAUUUGAUCCAAUCUCGAUUUGAGAGAGUUGGAGAUUGCAAGAAGAGGAGACGGCGGCGCCAGUGCGUGCUACAACGUUAGUAAGGGUUCUUGGUUGCGGUCUUCAUCUAGGUCCUCCAUGUUGGCCGUGGUAUUCAUCUACGACCUAUGUGUCUGCUUCUUGCAAGGCUUCUAUAUCUUUUCUUCUUCUUUUUCCAGCUGGUGCUUUAUGCGGCCGCCUCACUAGUUUGUAAUAUAGGGUUUUGUUUAGUUUGUGACCUAGGGUUUCUGUGACGUUUUUUAAC
rnacentral:lncRNA from 1 species